rnacentral:rRNA from 1 species
UCCUCCUAAAGCGUAACGGAGGAGCACGAAGGUUGGCUAAUCCUGGUCGGACAUCAGGAGGUUAGUGCAAUGGCAUAAGCCAGCUUGACUGCGAGCGUGACGGCGCGAGCAGGUGCGAAAGCAGGUCAUAGUGAUCCGGUGGUUCUGAAUGGAAGGGCCAUCGCUCAACGGAUAAAAGGUACUCCGGGGAUAACAGGCUGAUACCGCCCAAGAGUUCAUAUCGACGGCGGUGUUUGGCACCUCGAUGUCGGCUCAUCACAUCCUGGGGCUGAAGUAGGUCCCAAGGGUAUGGCUGUUCGCCAUUUAAAGUGGUACGCGAGCUGGGUUUAGAACGUCGUGAGACAGUUCGGUCCCUAUCUGCCGUGGGCGCUGGAGAACUGAGGGGGGCUGCUCCUAGUACGAGAGGACCGGAGUGGACGCAUCACUGGUGUUCGGGUUGUCAUGCCAAUGGCACUGCCCGGUAGCUAAAUGCGGAAGAGAUAAGUGCUGAAA